AGGAGAGCAGAACUUUGGCGUUGAUGUGGUUUGGUUUCUUACUGUAGGUUUGUGGGAACACUGUCCCUUGGAGCAGGCUUCUUCUGCUGCAGCAGCUGCUGCCCACCACAUCUCUAUGGUCACCUCAGAUUAAUAUUUUUCCACUUAUCACAUAGAAGAAGAAGUUUCUUCGAGUCUUUUCUGUGA
rnacentral:lncRNA from 1 species